rnacentral:rRNA from 1 species
UACAGAGGUCUCAAGCGUUGUUCGGAUUCAUUGGGCGUAAAGGGUGCGUAGGCGGCGCGGUAAGUCGGGUGUGAAAUCUCGGAGCUUAACUCCGAAACUGCAUUCGAUACUGCCGUGCUUGAGGACUGGAGAGGAGACUGGAAUUUACGGUGUAGCGGUGAAAUGCGUAGAUAUCGAGAGGAACACCUGCGGCGAAGGCGGGUUGCUGGGCUGACACUGACGCUGAUGUGCGAAAGCUAGGGGAGCGAACGGG